rnacentral:lncRNA from 1 species
GCCUCCUUUUCAUUUCUCCAGCUGCAAAUUGAACCCUAUGUCUCUCAGAGGUGAUGCUGGCUUCCCUGGAGGUGGGUCCUAGGGGCCCAGAGGUACACGAAGAGGGGAAGAAGUUUAGGCAAGUGCCUUUAGAGUCACAAGUGUCUUAGUAAUUGUUUUCUCUCUUCCACCAUCCCAACAGUCUCGAACAUAUCACCCGCUGAUAAAAACUCUGAAAGGCAAGAACUGAGAAAAAAAAAGAAAAAUAAGGAUGAAGACAUUCUCCAGAUAAUUACAGCAGGCAAUUAAUCUAAGUAAGCCAAGAUUAUUCAGUCCCUUUCUUAAGACCUGCCAGAAUGUUAUCAGAUUUCCAUGAAGUGCAGCAGUGUAUUUAAAAAAAAAAAAAGUAGAAAAAGAUUAUAGCUCUAAACAUUGGCAACAAAACUCAUAGUAAAUCCAUCAACUCCAUCUCUCUCACUCUCUGCUCCAGCAGGUCCUGCCUUUAUCAACAGGAGAGGUUGCAAUUGGACAGUACAUCAUUGGUGCCUAAUGCUUGCGUGAUUCCUUUUAGACCAACCAUCAGAGCUGAUUUAAGUGCUAACAUAUUCACUUUAUCAAGCUGAGCCAGCCUCUGGUCUGGAAGAACCAACGCCUCUGGUGUCUUCCCUCAAUCACACAACAGCGGGGGUUAUGCUCAGAUCUUAAUGGACACUCGUGUUAUCUCUGUUGUUGAUGGAUGCUCUGUUUUCCUGUGAGUCUCUCCCACAGGAAGGGACAUCGUGGACUUUAGCACCCUGACUUCUGGCAUCCUGGGUGGGAAGAUGAAGAUGGUCAUACUGUGGGGACACGUUUCAAGCCACGUCCUGCAGGCUGUGAGCCAACUCCCAGGUCAUCAUGAAGGGCUGGGUGCCAGGGAUCUGAAUGGCUGAAGUUCCCCAGGUGACUCCAGCGCAGGCAAAUCCUUUCUUCUGCUACUUUUUCAACUGUGAAUCAACCAUUCCUACUGUGUUUUGAUGCAAAGGAGCAAGUCUGCAGUCCUCCACGUGAGCUUCCAGGCAGCUCCGCAGCUGAAACUUGGGCAAAAAUAAAUGACACCUACCAUAGUUUCUUCCUGGCCUUUGGCUCCCAUAGUCCUACCGCAUCACCUGCCUCCUCCCCUU